rnacentral:rRNA from 1 species
ACGUAGGGUGCAAGCGUUAAUCGGAAUUACUGGGCGUAAAGGGCGCGUAGGCGGCCUUCUAAGUCGGACGUGAAAGCCCCAGGCUUAACCUGGGAACUGCGUCUGAUACUGGGAGGCUUGGAUUCGGGAGAGGGAUGUGGAAUUCCAGGUGUAGCGGUGAAAUGCGUAGAUAUCUGGAGGAACACCGGUGGCGAAGGCGGCAUCCUGGACCGAGAUCGACGCUGAGGCGCGAAAGCUAGGGGAGCAAACGGGAUUAGAUACCCCGGUAGUCCUAGCCCUAAACGAUGAGUGCUUGGUGUGGCGGGUAUCGAUCCCUGCCGUGCCGAAGCUAACGCAUUAAGCACUCCGCCUGGGGAGUACGGUCGCAAGGCUG